rnacentral:lncRNA from 1 species
GAAGAGGAGAGGAGGUGUGAUGAGGGCAUGAGGUGGUAGAGGCUGAGAGGCUGGUCUGGUCUUGUUCUACGAUGCCAGGCACCUGGGGCAGGUGAAGGGAACAGUUCUAUGUCUACCUGUGUGCCUGCCCUCCAUCACACCUCUUACAAUGUCCAGCACAGGAGGGGAGUUAAGUGAGUCUUUGAAUGGAGAAAAAGAGGGUCUAGAGGAACACUUCUUCAGACCAGUGGUCAGCACAGUUACAGCAUUGCCCCUUCAGACUGGCACAUGGAAGCUUCCCGGAGAACUUUGGGUCUGAGAAGAGAGGAAGGCUGAGGGAGCUCCAUGCUCAGGGAAACUAAGGCGUCUUCAGUGGGAACAGGUGUAGACUCUGAAAUGGAGAAGGACCAGUAAGUCAUGUCAUCUACAAGAGUUGGGUUUCAGGAGGGAGUGAUGGAGGCCAAGUUCACCAUCAGAAGUAAAAUCUACAAGGAACUUCCCUUGUCUACCCCAGCCAAGAUUCUUGCCAAAUGUAAUCAGAACUUACCACACACCUAUGCACCCUUCACAAAGAACCCAACUUAACCUGCAUAAGGAAUAAAC